GAUGAACGCUAGCGGCAGGCCUAAUACAUGCAAGCUGAACGGCAAGAUUUGUAGCAAUACGGAUCCUAGAGGAGCGUAAGGGUGCGUAACACGUAUGCAAUCUACCCGCAACAGGAGGAUAGCUCUUCGACAGAGGAAUUAAGACUCCAUAAGAUCACGAGAGGGCAGCUGAUAGUGAUUAAACUAGAAGGGGUUGCGGAUGAGCAUGCGUCUGAUUAGCUAGUUGGCGGGGUAACGGCCCACCAAGACGAUGAUCAGUAGGGGAACUGAGAGGUUGGUCCCCCACACUGGCACUGAGAUACGGGCCAGACUCCUACGGGAGGCAGCAGUAGGGAAUAUUGGACAAUGGGUGAGAGCCUGAUCCAGCCAUGCCGCGUGCAGGAAGAAAGCCUUCUGGGUUGUAAACUGCUUUUUUCAGGGGAUAAAAUACCGGUGCGCCGGGAAUUGCAAGUACCUGGAGAAUAAGCCACGGCUAACUACGUGCCAGCAGCCGCCGUAAAAC
rnacentral:rRNA from 1 species